UACGAAGGGGGCUAGCGUUGCUCGGAAUCACUGGGCGUAAAGGGCGCGUAGGCGGACUCUUAAGUCGGGUGUGAAAGCCCCGGGCUCAACCUGGGAAUUGCAUUCGAGACUGUGUAGCUAGGGUGCGGAAGAGGGAAGCGGAAUUUCCGGUGUAGCGGUGAAAUGCGUAGAUAUCGGAAGGAACAUCAGUGGCGAAAGCGGCUUCCUGGUCCAGCACCGACGUUCAGGCACGAAAGCGUGGGGAGCAAACAGG
rnacentral:rRNA from 1 species